rnacentral:sRNA from 1 species
AAUCGGUGGUGCAGUAUUCUAGUCAGGUUUUAUCAUUACUGAAGACGGGGUUAAAAUACCGUUAAAGGGCAUAUCGAUGAAGUUUCUUGUGUUGGCUUUCGUUGCCCAAACGAGGGCUGAUGCUGGGAGUUAAGAUUUAUGGGGGUUCCGUAACGGCAUACGGAGGGCUGCCCAUUUAUCGUGGAGACCAUAGACGGUGGCGAUCGGAAUGAUUUGAUCUGUUACUGCUAUGGGUGAAACCUGUAAUGCGGCGAAAUGCUGUGUGCAGUGUAGCCUGCCUUGAAGUGGGGAUUGCGGAUUCGAGAACACGUCCCGACCGGUCGGCCGACCGGAGAGGGGCGAUUGCUCUAUGAAACAAUUUCUGCAAUAGAGGCUAAGUGUGAAAAAUUUGUCAAGGAAAUCUUCUAGACUGACAGUGUCCGGGAUUAAAGUGUGGACUCAGUGGUGAUACAGUUUCAUAGCCGGCGACGCUAUGGUCAGGAAUUUAAAAGGAAACUGCUUGGACGGCGACGACAAGUAUUCUUGAGGGAAAACCUACUGUACCUAAAGCCGCAAAGUUUACCGGAUACCUCACCACCAAUUUUUUUUG